rnacentral:rRNA from 1 species
UACGUAGGUGGCAAGCGUUGUCCGGAAUUACUGGGCGUAAAGGGCGCGUAGGCGGCCCGCUAAGUCGAACGUGAAAUCCCCAGGCUCAACCUGGGAACUGCGUCCGAUACUGGCAGGCUUGAAUCCGGGAGAGGGAUGUGGAAUUCCAGGUGUAGCGGUGAAAUGCGUAGAUAUCUGGAGGAACACCGGUGGCGAAGGCGGCAUCCUGGACCGGUAUUGACGCUGAGGCGCGAAAGCUAGGGGAGCAACAGG